UACGAAGGGGGCUAGCGUUGUUCGGAAUUACUGGGCGUAAAGGGUUCGUAGGUGGCCAACUAAGUCAUACGUGAAAUCCCUCAGCUUAACUGGGGAACUGCGUCUGAUACUGGUUGGCUUGAGUACAGGAGAGGAACGCGGAAUUCCAGGUGUAGCGGUGAAAUGCGUAGAUAUCUGGAGGAACACCGGUGGCGAAGGCGGCGUUCUGGACUGCAACUGACACUGAGGAACGAAAGCCAGGGGAGCAAACGGG
rnacentral:rRNA from 1 species